UGAUUACAGUAUUAACAGUGCUCCUUUAUAUGCCUUAUAUAUCCAUUAGCUCAGCAUCUCAGUUUUUCUAUGAGGCUCCCCAAGAACUCUUUGUAUUAAGGGAGGAAGAGUAGGGUGCAGGUGAGGUCAUCACCACGUUGGUUUGAUCCAUGUGGAUCGAGAAAUCUGAUACAAUUGUGAAAAUGGAGUUCGCAUCACCGCCCCACCGCACCUCGCCCACGAUCGUCCCACACGACGUGCGAUUGACACUUGUAAGUCGCACGCGGUGGGGCGUUCCCGCGUGCGACGCUAACGUGACGGAUGUUAACCCCGCCCGUUAGCCCCAAAAACUCAAAAGGGCUUUUUCUCUGCCCGAGCUCGGAUCUCCAUCCCCAAUUUCAGCACCGGCGAUCGCUCCUGUCACUAGAUAAGUUCUGACCCUCGUUUUUUGUCUGGGGUUUUGAUUUUUUCAUUAAACUCUCAUCUGAUGUUUUGUUUUUCUUUUCAAAUCAGAGACUUUUUUUUACCCUCUUCCACCUCCCUCUCCGGCACCGGCAAUCACUCCGGCCACCUCCCCCACUCCGAUGUGUUUUGCAUCACUGGGUUACGUUGUAAGUCGUCCUUUGAGUGUUAUUUCUCUACAGAUGACAGGUGAGUAGGACCUGGUAGGGUUUGCCUGUGACGGAGGGGAUUUUGUUUUUGAUACUCUGCUUUAGCUUCCUUACAAGCAAAUGGGGUCUUAACUAUCUACUGUUGUCACAUGGUCACACAGUUUGCUUGAUUGGUCCUUGUACAGGAAAAAAAUUAACUUCAAUCAGUGUUACUGUUUC